AGAGUUUGAUCCUGCAGGACGAACGCUGGCGGCGUGCUUAACACAUGCAAGUCGAACGGUGAACCUGCUUCGGUGGGGGAUCAGUGGCGAACGGGUGAGUAACACGUGGNNAACCUGCCCCCGGCUCUGGGAUAACUCCAAGAAAUUGGGGCUAAUACCGGAUAUGACUCUGCCGCAUCUGGUGGUGGAAAGAUUUAUCGGCUGGGGAUGGGCCCGCGGCCUAUCAGCUUGUUGGUGGGGUAGUGGCCUACCAAGGCGACGACGGGUAGCCGGCCUGAGAGGGUGACCGGCCACACUGGGACUGAGACACGGCCCAGACUCCUACGGGAGGCAGCAGUGGGGAAUAUUGCGCAAUGGGCGGAAGCCUGACGCAGCGACGCCGCGUGGGGGAUGACGGCCUUCGGGUUGUAAACCUCUUUCAGCAGGGACGAAGCGGAAGUGACGGUACCUGCAGAAGAAGCACCGGCCAACUACGUGCCAGCAGCCGCGGUAAUACGUAGGGUGCAAGCGUUGUCCGGAAUUAUUGGGCGUAAAGAGCUCGUAGGCGGUCUGUCGCGUCGGCUGUGAAAACCCGAGGCUCAACCUCGGGCCUGCAGUCGAUACGGGCAAACUGGAGUGCUGCAGGGGAGACUGGAAUUCCUGGUGUAGCGGUGAAAUGCGCAGAUAUCAGGAGGAACACCGGUGGCGAAGGCGGGUCUCUGGGCAACAACUGACGCUGAGGAGCGAAAGCGUGGGGAGCGAACAGGAUUAGAUACCCUAGUAGUCC
rnacentral:rRNA from 1 species